rnacentral:rRNA from 1 species
GGUGAACGCUGGCGGCGUGCUUAAGACAUGCAAGUCGAACGCAGUCUUCGGACUGAGUGGCGCACGGGUGAGUAACACGUAACUGACCUACCCCCAAGUCGCGGAUAACUGGCCGAAAGGUCAGCUAAUACGUGAUGUGAUGUCCCCUUUCUGGGGGGCCAUUAAAGGUUUACUGCUUGGGGAUGGGGUUGCGUUCCAUCAGCUAGUUGGCGGGGUAAAGGCCCACCAAGGCAACGACGGAUAGCCGGCCUGAGAGGGUGGCCGGCCACAGGGGCACUGAGACACGGGUCCCACUCCUACGGGAGGCAGCAGUUAGGAAUCUUCCACAAUGGGCGAAAGCCUGAUGGAGCGACGCCGCGUGAGGGAUGAAGGUUCUCGGAUCGUAAACCUCUGAAUCAGGGACGAAAGACGCGUAAGCGGGAUGACGGUACCUGAGUAAUAGCACCGGCUAACUCCGUGCCAGCCGCCGCCGUAA